UGUACAAUUACAGACUUUCGUGUUGGUUGUGUUGAAACUUUGCAUUCUUCUAUCAGGGAAUUAGUGUGGAUACUGAUGGAAUCUUUGGUAAUAAGCACUUUGUAUCACAUACAGGCCGGCCGCAGUGGUCACGCGGUCUGAGGUAUGGACCUCUUGCGCCUGGCCGCUGCGACCAUGGGUUCGAGUCCCACUCAAGACAUGGAUGUUUGUCCGCGUCCUUUCUCUUCCAGUCUGAUGGAUAAAGACUAGCCAAGGAAGGCAAGGCAAAACCACCGUGGUAUCUUCGCAAGAAACAACCCCUAAAUGGGGUUGCAAACCAAUCCUAGGAUUGAUAACCAACAACAAAAAAUCAUAUACAGUAAAGCCAAUUUACAAUUGAUUAUAAGCAAUUUGAACAGUUUUCAGUUUUUUAACACAGGAAUUGUCUUCUGUGAAAUCUAUUCCACAGUACAUGCCCCAUACAUUUAUGAUACAGAUGACAAAUCAGAAUUUCAUCCUACUUGAAGAGAUACACCCUACAGUCAUACUGCAAGACUGCAGAUUCAUACUAUUAAUACAAACUUUUGUGGUCUCUGACACAUAAAGAUGCAUGUGGGUACAGUCUGGUUAAUCCAUUAUGGCAUUUCAUUUAUAUUUAUUUAAAAGUAUGAAAUUUUCUUGCGGCUGCAUUCCAUUUAGAAAUUUCUGUAAAAUUUAUGUUUGAACCCAAUGGGGAAAAAAUUGAAAUUCAUCAUCAGCUGUUUCCUGUAAGUGUCAUGUUUACCUAGCUGGGAUACAGAUGUGGGAAAUACAGAAAACUUCACAGGCAUGUGUAUUCAAAUUACUGUACAUUGUAGCCAGUUUUACAAUUAACAAGUUUUCUUUUUCUUUUUUGUUUCCUUUACACAGCUACACAUCUGUGUUGAAUAAUAUUUCUUUUAUUUGCACAUGUGUCUCAAUAGGUAGGUCACAAUUACAUUUAUUUCUUUCAUGCCAGUUUGACAGUAGCAGAGAUUUUAAUGUUUGUUUCAUAAACCUUCAUAUACUUCAUACUUGCAAGUGCUCACUAUGAGUGAAUAUGAUUAGCUGUCAACAUACAUUUCUAGGAAAAAAAUUAUUUGUACAUUUAUAUGGUCUGAAGUACCAAAGGUUACAGAAUUUAGUCAGUAUUAACCUAGAUUCUCAUAUUGUCUUAGUAACUUUACAGGGUCAUUCUUUGUUUACAGAAGUUGAAUUUAUGUAAGCAGAAUAAUUACAAAUUAAUAAUUAAAUUUGCUGUAUACUUCUUUGCACAGUAUCCAACAGUGUGUAUUAUAAGUCAACAAUUUUAAAAUUUGCUGCCACUGUGUCAGUUGUAGCAGAAUUUGUAGGUACAUUUAUGAUUUGCUGUAUCACAAGAUUUCUCAUUCAUAACUCAAAAGCUUUAUUACUUAUUGUCAUAAACUGAAUGUAAAUACAGACAUCUCAUGGCUGUCAUGUUUUACAUUCCCAGAAGAAGUUUCCUUUAUAAAAGUUGCAUAGUUUAAAUUUAUUUGCAGCAUUGCAUUCCAUGGCACAGCAAGUGGCUUGCUGAACUCAGAUAUUUUUCAUGUUGGUAUGUUUGUGGCGAAGUAUUAAUAAAUAUGAAGAUGUGGGCAACAUGGUGUCUGUAUAGUUUUGUGAACAUCUUAAACAGGUUAAAGCCAUGUGUGACAACAAUCUGUUUAAAAACGGUAGGACUGUUACACACUCUAACAUCAGUUGCAGUUUUUCUUCUUAGAAAACAUUUGUUUGAUAAAUUUUCUAUUCAGGAAAGUGAAAUAAGAGGUGCUUUAUUUUUAUUGCUUUACAACUUCAUUUAAGAAUAAGCUACUUGGGAAGUCUUUGGAAAUUAGGAAGGGUUGGAAACUGAAUGGAAUGCAUCUACUACUGAUCUGUGUUGCUGACAUUAAAUUAAUUGGGGGGGAAAUUCUCUACAAAGAAUUAUUAAAAGAGGUUUGUCUUACACAGGAGGAAUUAAGUAUAUGUUUGUUCCCUAUCACCAGAAUGCAGAAUAGAAUUAUAAAGAUUAAUGAAACAUGUUUGAGGUUUCACUGCAGUGAAGAUGUUGACUAUGGUAGCCACCAAUAAGAAGAUUGCACUCCAAACCAUUCAGAAAACCACAAUUAACAACAUAAUCUUCUGAAAAUGUUUAGUUCUGGUGGAGCUUAUGAAUUUAUACUCAAUAGUUUAAUGCUGGUGCGAUUAAAUAGAGGAGAAUGAAAUGAGUAGGACAUGUAUCGUGCAUGGAUGAAAUGUAUGCAAAAUUUUGCUGGGGAAUUUCAAGGGAUGAGGCCGUGUGGAAAACCUUGGGAAAAUUGUAAAUUGGAUUUUCAAUUUGGUGUGAAGGUAGGGACUGAACUGACAGUCUGGUGGCAAGUUCUUGUGAUUCUUAACAUGGAGUUUGUUAUUAUUUCAUUAAUUUGGUUGUCUAUCUACAAUUAUUAAGAAUGAUAACAAAAUUAUGGUAAACACUGCAAAUAAAAUAUUCACAAGUGUCGCCAUAUUUAUGCUCUUUGUAAAGUGUUUCUUAAAAUAGCCUGAUGUAAAUAACAACUGAAACAAUUAUACAUUUUUUAUAAAAUUAUUGAAUUAUGAAUGUCAUUAUAAUCGCGUUAUCCUUGCUCGAGUUGUUUAUGUGGAUGAUAAUUACCCUUUACGUCACAUCAGCUGUGCAUGAAAUCACCAUGUUUUCCCCCACCGCGUUAUCGGUGUAGGUCGCAGGUUGUUUGUGGUGUUAUCUGUGUCUGCUAGAUGAACCAGUUGAACCGUAUGUUACCACUGUUUAGAACGAUUCAGUAUAAAAAAAAUAACAUAACAUUGAACGGUUGUUUUCAUGGCGGCAGGAAGAGAAAUUGUUACUUUGCAGUUUGGGUGUUAUUCGAAUUUCAUCGGCGCACAUUGGUGGAAUUUACAGGUUUCAGUAAUGUUUUGUCGAUCUUUAACCUUAUUGCCCAACAAUAAACAGGAGGCUGGGUUUGAGUACAAUGCAGAUAACCCAUCUGAAAUUAACCAUGAUGUACUUUUUCGGGAAGGGGUCACUUCCAAGGGUCAUGUGACAUUUACUCCAAGACUGCUCCUAGUUGAUCUAAAGGGCAGUCUUGGCCACCUUCGGCAGGAAGGGGACCUGUAUAACCAUCCUGAAGAUGUAAACCCUAAUAAAGUUCAGUGGCCUGUUGAAAAAGUGGAUGUAUUAUGUACUCCUACAGUUGAAAAAAAUGAAUUUAUAAAUGACUUGGAGAGUGAAGAAAAUGUCAUGGUUAAUACAGAAGCACCUGGCAGUCUUCCCAAAGUUUACAAUUUGGACAGUGUGACUAAUGUUUGGGCUGAUUACCUUCGAACUAGGUAUCAUCCACGAACAGUGUCAAUAAUAAACGAAUAUGAACACAACAGUGACACGAAGCCUUUUGAUGUGUUUAACCAAGGUGCAAACCUUUGGAAGACAGAACAGUUUCAAGAUGACUUCACUGACCGCAUUAGAAUGUAUGCGGAGGAGUGUGAUAAUAUGCAGGGUUUUCAUAUUCUUCUAGAUGGUUCUGAUGGGUUUGCUGGUCUUGGUACAAGUGCUCUGGAAUAUUUAGAAGAUGAAUAUUCAACAAAAAGUAAAUUAGUGUUCCCAACUAUACCAUCUGAAUUUAGCAACACAACAACAUUCCAGGACAGCGUGCGACUGUUAAAUUUAGCGCUUGGUUUCCACAGCCUGGCAGAGCAUAGCUCUCUCUUUGUGCCACUUUGCAUGGGUUCAUCAGGUUGGAGGCAGCCAGGUGUCCCCAGGGAUUUCCCACAUCUACGGUAUAAUAGUUCCCUAGCCUAUCACAGCAGUGCUGUACUUGCAGCUGCUCUGGAUACGGCGACUCUUCGUUAUCGCCUGAAGACUGGAAUGCGUACUUCUCUGUCAGAGAUGACUGACUCUUUAAGCAGGCUGGGUCGUAGAGUUGCUGUUGCAAGCCUAGGGCUACCAUUUGCCAUGGAAUAUGAUGCAUACCUUCUGGACACACUGGAGCAGUGGGAAGGCCCCCUUUGGCAAACCCUCUCUCCGAACUGCAACUUAGAGAAUGAUCGUAUCUGGAUCCAGUCAGUUGUAUUGCGUGGUGUGCCGAAACUGAGGCUCAAGAGUGUGCAGAUGCAGCAGGACAGGAACCCAGCGUACACAUGCACCAGCGUGCAGGAAAUGCUCAGUCUGUUCUUAACAUGUUGCUCGUAUGCUACAGCAUCUCAUGUUACUUCUGCUGACUCACCUUGUAAUGUCUCCUCACCAUUUCCCCAGAUCUUUUCUGAAUUUGUUGGACUGGAUGGUUCAGUCAGUACUCAGAAAAGGCCUGGAAAUAUUGGUGUUUACUCAGUGCCAGCAAUUGCAGGACUUCACAGUUGCCGCAGUGUAGGUGAUAUGUUGGCGGCACUGAAUAUGGAAGUGAGGAAACUCCAGCUGAAACGUUUCCAUUGCUUUUGUAAUUCUGGACUGGAGGAGGAUGAAUAUGAAGAAUGCCUUAACCACCUGGCUCUUUUACGCGAGUGCUAUAAUGAAGAGUUUGAUGUAUAAUGUGAGUGACUGCCACAGGUCUGGAGAUAUAUGUGAUGUUUUGUAAUGUUUACAUAGUUUGCUGGUUCAUAGAUAUUUGAUAACACAAAAGAGAACUUUGUGUGAAAGAUAAGCAGAAACUUAUAUGUGGCACAUUCAAAGCAUUCCAUGACCAGAGCCAUGUCUUGAAUCUGGAGGCACUAACCAGUACUUUGAUGUUGUUGCAUUCAAAAUGUAGCUGUGCAGCAGCUAUAAAGCAUUCAUACAGUUUGAAACAUUUCUGGAAGUAACCGUGAGUGACCUCCAACAGUACAUUCUUCAAAGCCAUCUGAAUCUCGAAUGCAUUCUUGAAGUACCAUCCCUACAGCUCAUACUUCAUCCAUGGAAGCAUGAUUGGGAAGCAUCACAAGAUUGUGCUUGGUGAGUUGGUGCACAUGCAAAAAUUGAUGUGCUGGGGCUUUGUCAUGCAGGAACAUCAAGUGUUCGGCUGCCCAUAUUUGAGGAAUUACCUCCUGUAGAUGGGUGGGCAUCUUCAUGUUGACUAUAACACCGUUAGAAAUAAACUUAUUGUGCAUUAUGCCCUGCAGCUGGAAAAGGGUUUCUGAUGCCCUGUCUUUCUGGGGAUCCUGUUGGAACUUUCAACAUUCUUAGCGCUGAUGGAUGCAGUGCAUCUUCAUAUCUAUGGUGGGGUAACUACCAACUGAAAUUCUGAUUUUCUCUACAAUCAUCUAUACCAUCUUACAACAGUCAUGCCACACAACUACUGCUGUCACAUUUCAGUUGUCCUACAGUGUCGCAGGCUGCUGAAACUGAUCGAUAUAGCCCCUUUGAUCUCCUUGCUCAACUUUGUUCACUUCUGGGACCUGUCACAUCCACUAGUCGAAUGUCUCUCCAGGCAGAUGCUGAGAUUACAUUGCAGUGGAUUCCUUGCCUUUCAUUCACAGUCAUCUUUAUCGCAUGAUGUAUGCAGCUGACAAGUUUUGUUAAGUGAUGGUAAUAUAUUCAGUCCCUAAGGUACUUACCAUUACGAGUUAUGACAUUUAUGGCUUUUGAUAGCUUCCUCUGCUCCUGCAGUGCUUCACUGGAGUGAUUGUUUUUCACUGCUGCUAGUAUUUUGAUACUUGGGCUUGGAAGCAUGUUAAGGCUUGUAGCAAUUGCUGAGUCAAAACCCAGUGUGAAAGCUCCAGCUAGAACCUGAACACAGAAAGAAAUCAUGUUUAUUGCAUAGUUUGAAAUGAAGUGAGUCAAACCACAGUCAGUGGUGAUCCUUUAGGUUUCGUAAAUACAAAGAACUUCUUGGUCAGCUGAGUAACUGAUACUCUGCCAAGUAGCUCAGGCAGUUGGAUGGAACAAAUCUGAUCAUCUUGAGAUAUCCAGUUUGAAUAGAGAUAAUGUAUGGCACUAGCUAUUCUAACUGAAUGUUUAAUGGUUUUCCUCAGUCUGUGUCUUAACUGUGCCAGAACCACUUACUUCCCAUUCAUUGUGCACAGUUAUUCUCUUGUCUCAUUGGACACUAUAAAAACCUGCAUGACAAGAUUUGAAAAGUGAUUCCAUACCAGAAUACACAGACACUGCAGAAUCAUUAGCAAAUGAUGGUUUGAAUUCCACAUGGAUGACAAUUUCACAAGAAAUUUGGGGGGUUUAAAUGAAGUGUGUCCAGUGAUUCAAAGUAAACACUGUUAAGUUUGACUUUGUUACAGGAGUGUUAAUUCUAGACUGACCUCAUGUUAUAGGAUCUUCCUCUAGCAGUUCACAGGUAUUAAGCUUUUACAAGAAUGUGUAGUCAUCACACAAGUCACCUUCUGACCCAAUCGUGAGCCAUAUAAAUUCAUUUUGCAAUAUCACACACCAUUUCUGGUCUUCUAGGACAUUUUCCCAUGCAGUUUUAAAACUAAAAUUUUGUAUGUGUUCUGCGUCUCACCAACCAUCUUGUUCUUAUUCAAUUAAUCACACUAACAGUAUUAGGUGAAAGAUAAAAAUUAUGCAGCUUUCUCCAGCCUUCUGUUACUUCCUCUCACUCUUAUUGCCCAUAAUUCUUUGUUCUUAGGCAUCCUCAGUGUAUGUUCUUCCUUAAGACUAGAAGACACACCAUACAAAGCAAUGAGUAAGAAUAUAGUUUUAUACAUUUGAUAUCUAGGUUUUGAGGUGAAACAAGAUAUUGAUAUUAGUAGUAACUAUUUCCUGAAUUUAAUCUAGUUCCAUCACGAAUUUCACUGUCAUUAUCAAAUACUUGAACUUGCUUCUGUUUCGUAUGUGGCGAUGAGGCACAAACACGUGAAUACUUAGUGCUUACUGUGUUUGUUUCAAGACCAACCUCCUUACUAAGACACAGUAUAAUCAGUGUAUAUAAAUGUAUUAUUGACAGCUAAUGUUUUCUUUCUAA